rnacentral:rRNA from 1 species
UACGAAGGGGGGCUAGCGUUGCUCGGAAUUACUGGGCGUAAAGCGUGCGCAGGCGGUUAUGUAAGACAGAUGUGAAAUGCCCGGGCUUAACCUGGGAACUGCAUUUGUGACUGCAUGGCUAGAGUUUGGCAGAGGGGGGUAGAAUUCCACGUGUAGCAGUGAAAUGCGUAGAUAUGUGGAGGAACACCGAUGGCGAAGGCAGCCCCCUGGGUCAAGACUGACGCUCAUGCACGAAAGCGUGGGGAGCAAACAGG